GCCCCGCUCCCAGCCCCUUCCCCCCGCGAACCGAGCAGCAGAGGGAAAACGGCCCCACUGAAGGGGCGGACAGGCGGCUCUCGACAGAUUCUCAACGAAUUUUGCCUCCUCGCAGCAGCCCCCUCAUCAUUUUUCCACCCAAAACCCCUCGCACCCCCCUCGGAACCCGGAGGCAGCGGGGGAAGCACCGCCACGGGAACGCGGCGGCAGCACCGACGGCUGUGGCCCCGCUCCGCGCCCGGGCUGCGCUCUGCCCCGCACCGCUCCGCGGGCGGCACCGGGGCGUCCCUCGGGCUCCGCUCCGUCUGCCGGAGACGUUUCCCAUUUCUCCUCACAAAAACCCAUUUUUCCGUUCUGCUCCCCCGAACGCCCAUACUUAUUGCACAGAAUUCAUAUGUUGAACAGAAAAGCCCUCCGCGAGUUUUCUUUGUUUAAUUGUCCCCGAGGUGCGCAGCCCGCACUGCACAUAACGGCCACGGGAGAUCCGUGCGGGGCGGCGCGGGGGGAGCGGCGGCAUUUGGGGUUCGGGGCCGGUGGUAAACAGCACCGCUGCGGCACUGCGUGGGGAUCACCGCGGUUCUGUGGUUCAGGAGAGAAAGAAUAAUAGACGUUCCCGAAGUGGAGGUGGGGGGAGCGCCUGUUUGGUUCGCUGCUUUUCGGAGGUCACAACGAGCAUUUUUGUUUUACUACAGAAAACGGAAAACCCGACACUGAAUGAUUUUCUGAUGCCGUUCUUUGGGGGGAGAGGGGGGGGGGGAAGAGGGGAGGGCUGCGGUUGGGGUGCGGCACGGAGCGGAGCUUCCAGAAAACGCCUCACAUACCGCCCCCCCCCCCCCCCCCCCCCCUUCUUUUUUAUUUAUUUAUUUAUUUUAUUUAUUGCUGUAUUUUCCUUCUGACGGAAGCAGGAGGGGAAUUGGGUGCAAAGCGGAUGAAAUGCGUCAAAAAGAGCCGUCGCCGCAGCGGGGCUGCGCUCCACGGGGGUCUCUCGGCCGCCGCUGCCCUCCGGGCCCGACCCCAACGGGGAUCGCAUUGCGCCGGGCGGGAAUUAACACAAAUCAGCGCACAAAUAGGUCGAGAAACAAAGAAAAAACAAAACCAAACCAAAAUAAAACCGAGCCAUCAGAGCGCGCAGAAGAACACCUCGGGGUUCAUGCAAUGAUUUUUUUUCUUUUUUAAAUUUCGUUAUUAUUAUUAUUAUUAUUAUUAUUUCUUAUUUAGCCAACGAUAAAUUCAUUGCAAAAGACGCGAAGGAGAUCGAUGUUGGGGGCCGCAGAGGGCGUCAGGGAGGAAACAACGAAUAUUCGCCCAAAUCGCGGCGUGCUGCGGAGGCACUGGGGCAUUUCCCCCCUCCUCCCCAUCUCUCGCCCCGCAGAGCCCCGGCCCUGCACCGCUGAGGGCCCGCGCGGUGCGGAUCUGAGGGGUGCGUCGGGCUCGGGAGACAUAUUUAGAAGCACCAUUAAGAUAAUGAUGAUAAUCAUCAUUAAAAACACCGGAAAACGUCCACGGAGCCUAAAGAGGACCCCGGUCCGGUGCGGGACAAACGUGUCCCCAGGCAGCGCCAGCCGGGGGAGGGUGCUUCUGGGCGGGGGCGCGGGGCUUUGUGCUGCUGCUGGAUACGGCGGUACCCCCACACAAACCCUCACGGCCCCGGCAUACACGUGCCGAGACACGGAGAUAAACGGGAGGGUGAGGGACGCCGGCGGGCUCAGCGCUGCGGGCAUCCGAGGGGUGCGGGACACCGGGGCUCUUCCUCGACUCCCAAAUUCCCCCCCGCUUCUGGGGCAUCGCUGAGCCCCCCCCCGCCCAGGGGGACCGCCGUGGGGACCGCACCCCGGGCAGCCCCGAUUGCUGCCCCGCGUCCGAAGGUGGGAGAAGGAGAUUUUGUUCGGCGGCGCCUGGAAAUAAAAAUCGCCCCGAACUUCUGCCGGCGGCUGAAAAUGGGGAUAGAACGCAGCGAAAGGAGGGGAAAUAAAAAGAGAAAAAGGAAGGAAAAGGAGGAGAGAGGCAGAGGAAGAGAAGAAAAAGAGAGGUACGGAGAGAUGGCGAGGAGGAUCGGGGCAUUCACCUCUGCUGCUCGCAGCGCGCUGCUCCGCCGGGAGCGGGACUGGGAGGAAUGGGAUUGACUCAGACUGGGACUCUGUUCAAGGACUCCUGCUCACUGUGACUUUGCAAGUCCCUCUGUCCCAGACAAGCCAUAGGAGAAGCACCUGCUCUUGCCCUGACUAAAACCUAGUGUUGGUUCAGAUCGUCACCCAUGGUUCCUUGUUUCUGUUUAUACUCAUCAGUAAAUCUUUUUGAGGAAAGUCAACCUUUAAAACAUUUUUCCAUUAACACUCCCCAUAGAAAGCAACCCAGAAGAAAAAUUAAAUGGUCACUGUGAAACCAUCUCUGAAAGCAAGCGAACGGAGGUUGUCAGAGGUGAUGGCAACCCAAAAAGGAGCAAUGCUAUGGGAAGAAACUUCUGGAAGGCCCAGCUGCGAGCAAGCCAGAGCUCCAAACAAGUCAUGCGUGCUCCUGGAGCUCAGGUGGUGCCCUUAGAGGUGUCCGUGGAGCUGUCACUGGUGCUGAAAGAAGGGAAAUGAGCCAAUAAUUGGGUAAUCAGCGGCCUCUUACUUUUUAAAUGAACCUGUAGGAUUUCCCCCGGCACCCUCCCUCUCCUGUCCUCGAGCUCAUCUUUCACUCUGUCAUGCAAUUCCCCGCUGGCCAGCCGCAGCCUGCCGCGCUCCCUUCCCAUUACACACAUGGCUGAGCCAGGGACGAAAGGGCUCCCAGAUUCCAGCGAGAAGGUAAUUAAUUGACUUUCCACUCUCGUUGCUAUGCGGCAAAGGUGGAAGCCGCAGCAGCCACAGUUCAUUUCUAAUCCUGGAAGAUUACUCGCAAAUGGCAUAAUUAUGGAGACAGUCAGCUACCCGCAAUGGGGAUGCCGACUCAAUAUUGGGGUGCUUGAGGGACAAGGGAGGAUGCAGUGAGGAACCAGGAGCCAUGGUGACACAUGUCCCGCUAACCCAUCAGCCAGGUGCUUGUAUCAGGGACACCAGCACUUCCCAAGGCGGUGGGUAAACCCAGAGGGAAUCUCACUCUGCCCAGCUACAGUGGGUACGGUUGCCUGCAUCACAGCAGUUCAUUCACGGGCAUGCCUGGACCAGCUGCCUAGAGCAAAGCAAUAGCACAUGCUACCAACAUUUCUUAAGAGGUCAUUUCUCAGUUCAAAACAUCAAAAAGUAUUCUCUGUAGUAGUGAUAGGACAGCUCAAGAUGUUCAAAUCUCAUUUCUAGACUCGCACUGAAAACAAAUCUCUCUCCCCAGUAGCAGUGGUGGAUGACUGUACAAAAAUAAACCAAUUUUGGUGCUGAAAGAACUAUUAACCCAGGGAAUGUUUUCCUACUGAGCUUUGUAAACUUUACAGUAAAUCUGAGUAAGAGGGCAACUGUUUCAGAAACUACAAAAGAACAUCCUAUUUGAGAACUACGCCUUUCUCUAACAAUCUGUGACUUCGUUUUGCAAACAUCUUCACAACUCUUUUGUAAUGGUGACAAGCCCAUCUGUGGUGCCCAGUCCUCCCCAUUCACUGUGCAUCUGGGGCUGCCCCCAUACUGCCAUUAAAGCCCUUUAAGCAUAAUAAUUACUGCCCAGAUUUAAAGAGGUUUGAUAAGGAAGGUUUCUUAUGGAGGCAAGGCAGGUGCCAGCAGACCCAGUGGUCUCUCAACAGUGCAGGGAGAGCAUGUCUCACUGGGACAGAUGGGUCUCAACACCUAAAGACCAUGUGGGUACAUCCACCCACAUAAGAGCCUCUCCCUGUGCUGGAACUCAGGGAAUUCACAGGAUUCCUGCAGCAAUCAGCCACUGCUCGCUGACUUCUCACUUCCCUGCAGCAUGAUGCCUGUAGCCCGCCAGGGCCCGAUGCGCUAUUUGCCUGAGAAGGUCAGAGGCAGAGCAAAUAUUUGCACUUCUUGCAUCUCAUUCAGGGCUUUAUAAGAAUUAAAGUUGUAUCUUAUGAACAAAAUCUGUAUUUCUUUCCCUCUCUCUUUUUUUUUUUUUUUUCUUUUCCCAAUUCCUUGUUAUUCUUGGGUAGUUUCUUUUGAUUUUCAAUGAGCAACAAAUUCAUUUUGCCAGUGUGAGAACACACAUAAACCCAAAAUUUGCCAGGCUUCAACUCUAUCUCCCAGUGACAGCACUAAAAAGCAUCAUUUUAACUUCAUAUUUCCAAGUGUCAGCAUCAGCCUAAGAUUUUAGUCCUGCACGUAGCCUGUACAGCCUGAAUACAAGCCAGCCUGUUUCAAAAGAUGACACAGCUGCCCAUGGAGCAGGUGGGCACACCAAGGCUUCACCAGCCAUAGAAGCACAUGGCUGGAGUCAGGAGCCAUCCACCACAAUCCCAGCAGAUGACAGCACAGGCACUGCAUGCACAGAGCUGUGAGAUCUCGGCCACUGCCGUGCCCCAGCGCCAGGAGCAGAAGCACGCAGCCCCAGGUGUUGGCCGGCAGCACACAGCCAGGUCAGGGCAGAGUCAUUUCCACCUUCCUGAAAUCUUUACAGAGCCUAAAAUCAACACCUUCCACUAUUCCCUGAGCAGUGUGAAUGACCUUAUUCACCCCGAUGUGGUGUUUACUCUGAAUCCUAAUGAAGGUGACUUGCUAACAGCUGUUUCUCUGUGAUCCUCACAGCCCACGUGGCUGCACAACUAGUGCUAGGCAGCAGUGAGGUGUGCACCAGUAACAGAAUCCCAUUAAGCUAUUUUCAGAUGUUCCCAUCUGCCCUCUGCAUCACCACAGAUGAGGGAUUUCUGCUUGCGUCGUCAGCAGCAUUAAAUAUAUUUACCUUCAUAAUAGCUGUGCUUCCCUCUGCUCCCCCCCAGCAGUUAGCCGUCAGAAAUGGGAAUGCAGCUCCGAGGUGGGCUCUGGAGAGACACUGAGUAAAAUCCAAAGCUGUGUUUUACUGCAUUUAACACCUCACACCAAUUUCAUCAGCUUUGAAUUUACAACCCACUAUAACGUGAGGUUGUGAAGUGGGCACACACUCUGCUGCAGAGCACUGUGCUUUGGAAGAAACAACUUUAUUGCCCAAGCUGUAAUGAAAUGGGGUGUCCUUUAAAAGGGAAAGUUGACAAAAUGUAUGGGUAUGCCCUGUACCAACAAGUUCCUUCUGGGGCACUGAUCUGCUGCUGGGCAGGAGCUGCAGCCACUCAUUCACAUCCAUCCACGUGGACCCUGGUGGCUCUUAGUUCAGAGAAUCCUAUCACUCUUCUGGGGCCAAUUACACAGAGCAGCAAGCUGACGCUCACACCUUCCAGAGCUGUGGAGCUGAGCAGAUUCAGAGCACCAAACCUAAGACAUUUUGCUGUGCCGCUGAUACGCUGCACGGGCAUUGUGGGGCUGGAGAGCCGAACACUCCGCAUACACAGAGCAGGGGGUGUGAUGAUGUAAGAUAGCAAGCCCAAAGCAGCAGGAGGCAAUGAGGAAUUAUUCCUCGCCUUAUCUCCUCUGCUCAGCACACGUCACUGCUCCUGCCAUUCCCAACACACGUCCCCAAGGACGCAUCUGCCAGCACUGCCACCUGAUAAGGGACGCUCCGCCACGUACCCUUGUACAGCUCUUUUCUUUACAUGCUUUGCACAGCCACGGCAGUUCUUCUGCAUUCCUUAGAUCUAAGGAGAUUUGGAAGGAAGCACAUGCAAAUUAAUUCUAAUUAAAAUGCACAUGCUGGCUGGCGGUGUCACGGCACAAAGGAGGCCAGGCACAGAGUCCUGAUAUUUGCACGCUACAAUGUAAAGUGCAAGGUUAUGCUGAAUGCCACGUGGUGUUCAAUGGGAAGCAAUGCUACAGUUAGCCCAGAAGAAAAUUCAUCUGCACACAGAAUCAAACCUCUUUCCCUCCCUGUCUCCUCCUACCCUAUAUUUUAACACCAGGAAUGAUUCUGUAUGAAGGCACCUGGAGAUGCUCCCUGCAGAGCAGCUGGGAGCUGCUGCUUUCCUGCCCUACCUGCAGCAUGCACUCGGCUUAAACUGCAGUCUCUGGCUUCCUCCCAUAACGGUGUUAUGUUGUAAAUAAGAAGCAGAGCAUUCAGAGGCAUUAUAGCCUCUUCCUCUGCACACUCUACAGCCAGAGUGAGCUCUGUCACCACUGACUCAAACCACAAAACCAAAAAAGCAAAGUGAGAAAAGAGGGACAGUUAUUUACAACUACACUAUACUAAAGGUAUACCCUGUGCACAUACAGGCACCGAAAUAUUUACCUACUCACCCAAGGUCAUUAGGAAUAAGCUUAAAAAAGGCCCUGCAAUGGGGGCCUGGUACAGAAGUCCCACCCAGCCCAGGGUGAAGCUGAGACACUGGGAGGAGCUGGAGCUGCAGGUCUCAGUCAGAAGCCCACAGCCAGGGGAGGGCCCACCAUGGAACGGAGAGCAUUGUCUGCCCUUCAGAAGUCCCUUCGUUGGAAAUAGACUAAAAGCAAGUUCUAGGCAUCAAGCUGGAAAAAAAAAGAAAUAAAAAGAAAAGGAAAAGCUCAGAAUAGGAUAAAUAAAAUGCAUCAAUUAACUCUAUUUGAGGGUAAGAAAAAGUCACUAUCAUCCAGUUUAAAAACAAGAACAGUAAAAAACCUUCUUUUCCCCCCCGUGCCUCAACGUGUCUAUACAAAAAAAAAAAAAAAAAAGGAAUACUAAACCUUAUUUUCUUCACAGGUUUUUAUUUGUGUUAUAUCACUGUGCCCUCAGCACUGCUUUCCAGUCACCUCAACCUCAUCCCACCACAAGAGAUGGGAGAAUUUCUGUAGCUUUCAGUGGGAGUUGGAUCAGCUCCAUGAGGAAUUUCAGACCUCCUCUUUUUUUUUUUUCCCUGUGUUUAAGAAUUGGCUUAUUUUCCAGCCUGCUAAUGUUUUCAAUUACGUGAAGCUCAAUUCAAUAUCUCUACCUGAUUGGGAGACAGCAGGAGUUGGCUUUUUGUGUUCCAUGACCUAGAGCUGACUCCAUUUGCUGCCUAUCUGACUAACUAGUGAAGCAGAAAAUGCACACAAUACAGCACAAUUAAUGACAGAGGCUGAAAAACACACCAGAUCCCAGCGGAGAGGAAGAAAUUAGGCUCCUGCACGGUGACGGAGUUUGUUGAUGAUGUUUUCCUAUUUAUAACAUUUUAAGGGGGGGGGUGGAAAAUCCUAUUUUAUUUCUUGUCUAAAAUUGGCUUAAUUUUUUUUUUAAAUUGAGGACGAUGAUAUUAAAAUCCACACCAGCUGCGUGGCACCACAGAGUGCCAAGGGGGGAGCAAUCUGUCUCUUCUGGCAAAUACAGCAGAGUAUUUAAAUCUACGUGAAGAAAACUAAAAUAACGAUCAUUUGCAAAUGAUGGACCGUACUAUUACGUUGAUAUACUACCCAUAAACAGGAUGUUAUUGUGAAGAUAUAUAAAAGCAACAUCACCGUUUGAUCCCUCUUUUUGUCCAUUCAACUAAAGGGCAAGCAGUGCCCUGCAUCGUGGUGCAGGUGUGACCCCAGCCUUGUCUCCAUGAAGACAUUGGCACUGCAGUGCAAUCACUGCUUUCACUGAGGCCACAAACGAGAUGGUGUUUCCCUGUUGGGUCUUAACUUAGACCCAACUUGGGUCUCUUAACUUGAGUCUCUUACAUACAGAGCAACUUUAGACAGAUCCAGCACUGGGAGCACAAGCUGAGUUUGUGUGAUAAAGUGGGCAGAGCCCAAGUUGUCCCAACAACAGGGAAUAAGUGGAAAGAGAAAGUAUGUGGAGGCAUCUCAGUACAUCACCUUUGUAAAUCAGGAAUGUUGUGUUGAUGUCCCUACUUGCUUUGUCCUACUGCUUAGGGCUACAUAUAUAUUUAUUUACUUUUAUGAAGAGCAAAUCCUUCUGCAGAUGCCAGCAGAACGUAAACAGUCCUUACCAGUGCUUUUUAAACACAUUCAAAUAGUCACUCUUUACAGUCAAUGAAACUUACACUGGAGAGCAGCCACUCCUUUCCCCGUCUCCUGGCCAGGUUCUCAGCUGGGCCGCCCCGUGCUCUGCCACUGUGGGACCUCAAGCACAGCAUGCACCCAUAGAGGUUGGGCUCUGGGGGCUGCAGCAGCCUCUCUGCCUGGGUUCAGGGUGAGGAGAGUGAAUAUUUCUCUGCAGCAUCAUCUGUUUAUUGAAUCACAAAGGUUGGAAAAGACUUCUAAUAUCACCAAGUCCAACCCCAGCCCACCCCACCAUGCCCAACAACCACAUCCCUCAGUGCCACAAAUCCACAGUUUUCAAACACUUCCAGGGAUGGUGACCCCACCACUCCCUGGGCAGCCUGUGGCCACUUUCAGAGAAGAAAUUCUUCCUAAUAUCCAACCUGAACCUCCUCUGGCACAACUUAAGGCCAUUCCUUCUUAUCCUAUGCUGUUACCAGGGAGAAGAGGUCAGCCCCCACCUCACCACAACCUCCUUUCAGGCAGUUGCAGACAGCAAUAAGGUCUCCCCUGAGCUCCUCUUCUCCAGACUGAACCAACUCAGUGCCCUCAGCCACUCCCCAUAGGACUUGAGCCACUCCAGACCCUUCUUUGAACACACUCCAGAACCUCAGAGUCUCUCUUUGAGGAGCCCAAAAUUGAGCACAGUACUCAAGGUGCAUUUAUUAUCCCAAAGGACAGUAAAGUAUUUGCAGAAUCUUUUAAAGAUGUUAUUUUCUAAAAGGGAAAAGCCAUUAAAAAACAUACUCAUGGCUAAGCUGUACACAGCCAGGAUCCUGCGCAGUACUGGCUUAUUGAGUGACAGCCAAGCAGCCUCCUAUAUGAGCACACCAGCACAUUGCCUGCUGGAUUUCACAAGGGGUGCCAAGCAAAGUCCAGCAUAACCUUCUUGCUAAGAAAAUACACAGGUAUUCAAAGAGCUUCAUGACUAUUGCAAAAUGGGGUACACAGGCAACCAAAGGCAUCAGAGAUGAGUUCAUGCCUACUCUCAAUUUAGUAUCUCUAAGCAAAUCCAGAAUGCAGCUUUCCAACCAACACUGCUUUUCCUCAUGUCUCCUACACAUGGAAAGACUAAUAUAUUUUAUUAUCAAUUGCUAAUACAGUAAACCAAUAUUCCUUUUAGUUCCAAAAAAUUGAUAAAUAAACAAACCAGAAUUUCCAUUUCCCACACAGACCAUAACUGCUUUUCUGCACUUUUGGGCUGUUUAUUAGUGAGAACUCUCACUGGAUCUAAGUGGCAAUAAAAGGCCUUGAGAGAGCUUGCAAAUGGAUUCUAAAUUGAUGUUUAAAAGCCUUUUUUUCCUUCCCUAAAUGGGAGAGUCUAAUGAGUUUUAAUACCUCAGGUUAGCUCCUUCAGUAAAAAGGAUGCUUCUAUCAGUACCAAGUCAUCUGGUUUGCAGGCUGGUUUCCUCUAUCCAUGCAAGUCCUGACCAAAAAACAUUUGAUUAAGGCUGUUUUAUCAUUCAAGAAAUUACACGGAGUACUGCAGGUUCGCUCCAUCAACUAGGACAGGGAAAGAGAAGAAACGUGUGGGACAGAGGCCAUGAUUUGGGCAUGAUGCUGGCACUCUGAAACACAACAGUUCUCAUGUGCUCAGAGUAGGAUGCUAAAACACAACAAAAGCAGCCUAGGAGCCAUGAAGAGAUCAGCUGCAUCAUGCUCCACACCGAAACCAAGAAUAAUAUUUCAGGUUUCAACAUGCAGCUUGGGGUUUUACCUGAGCACUGUUGUAUCUACCCACAGCCCAGGCUUGUAAAUCUCACAUUAAUAUCCAGCUCAGUUAAAAUUCUGCUGUAAAUUCUUCCAAUAAACCUCACUACAUGAGGGAGCACUGCAGACAGGCAAUGCCAGAGGAGAGCUCCUAAUUCUCACCAAACAUUUAAAGCCUGGCAGUGCCCAGCCAUCCUCCGGCCACGGGACAGUAAUGUCCCACAGCAAGUCCCCAACCUGGAGAGUUGUUCUUCCUCAUCCUCAGCCAAAUGCCUUCACAGAAAAGACAAGAGGAAUCGUCACAGCCUCAUCACCUUCCUGGGGAGGGAACCUGGGAUGUGACACAAAGAAAAUGAGGAUCCUUCAGAGAGAGAAUGUGACAUUCCCUUAAAGGAUCCUCACACACUGGAACAUUGGCUUUGGGGUCCAGACACUUAAUGGCUGCUGAUGGAGCCCAGGAGUCGCCAAGAGCCCUGCAAAGGGCACUGGAACUCUCCUUGGCCAGACAGGGCUGAGCAAACCUCGUCUGUCCAAAGCAUCCAAGUCCUGACACUGCCCCAGGUCAGCGUCACUGCGCCACUGUCUCCAUUUUGCUCUGUGGUGAUGUCCAAAGGACCACACGUGGCAGCAACAAGCUGCAGAGGAGCGAUGUGGCACAGCCGGCAGAUGCUCACCUCUUGACACCUCAAGGCCACAAUGCCUUCACCUGGGGAUGAGGCCACAGACUGGGUGCCAGCCCCAUCCCAGCAUGGUCUCACAGGGCAAACAGGUGUUGUGGGAGUGAAAGCCAAAAAGAGAAGCCUCAGGAGUGAGAUUUAUUGCUGGGCUAAUGAUAUCCUUCCCUUCCCAAUGACCUCGUCGAAGAAAGAAAGAGCUGAGUGGCUUUAUCUUUAUUCAGCACCGUGGUCCUUCUGGGACACUUGACCAUGAUUGCAUCGUUUACAGUGUCAGACUUGAUAACGCAUUGGCUGUGGCUGUGCAUGGCAGAGAACUCCCCCGGCAGCCAGGCUGGUUAAUGGGAACCGACGGGUCCUGCGGCCGCCUGCGCAUUCCCCCGCUUCCUGCUGCAGCACAUUAACGCCACAAAUUAACAUUGUAAUUGCCUUUUAACUAUUUAUCACUGUGGAGAAGCGAGAGAGGGGGAAAAAAAAAAUAGAGACCGACCACAGGCAGGGACCCAGGAGAGAGCUUAGGCGGGCAGGUCUCUGUCUGCACCUCCCUGUAUUCCUAUUUAUAGCUGGCCAUUAAGCUAUGCUAAUAAACAGCCAACCACGGGGUAUGGCAAACCCCUUGCUUAGGGACAGGAGGACAGCGAGUCAAAUAUGUGCAGUGUGCUUAACUCACAGGAGCAGGGCACGACUGCUGCCAAAACCACAGGGAUCAAACAGCAACCUCUGCAGCCUUCAGUUAGGUCCACUGCAGCGUCAUCACACGAGCGCGUACGUUUGGCACAUAAUCCCAGCAAAUGAAUAAAAGGAUAAAGAAAACGGGACAAAUUCAAGUCUGAUGACUCAGAUUUAAUCAGUUACUUCAGGAAAAGACAAUUCACAGUGGUUCAUAAAUCUCUUCGUGUGGAGAGCCCUUCAUCCAAAUAGCAGCAGAACGCAUCUGCCUCCGAUUCGCCGGAGCAAUUGCAUCAAGAAUAGCAUUGACUGUCAUUCUCCCUCGCAUGCAGUUGGCUGUUACGCCAUUUUCACAUGCAUGCAGCAGUUUAUAAGGGGAGUUGGAAUCAAGACCUCACAUAACCUAUAUAUUUAAUCAGAUUAUCCAAUUAAAUAAUACUGCCUUAAAUGGAAAGUCUGCGAUUCCCUUAAGCAUUGCUGGGCUUUCGUCGCAUGUUCUUUUGCUUGAAAUGCCUGAGCAGCACUGCAGCUAUUUUUAGACACUGAGAUGUUUGCAAAGCACCCACCACUCUGAUUUCUAGACACCAAUACCACACGUUCCUCAUCAAAUCACAGCAGCCAGAAGCGUGACGUUAAUCUAUCAAGCUACAGGGCAGACAAAAACAACAACUGCAGCUUUGUCUCCUGAUUGUGAGCAAGCACGGGAGGAAGAAGUGCUUGUUUGUCAUGCAGGGAACCCUACAGGGCACUGAGCCGCUGCCCCAAAGCGUGGCCGAACACACCUGGUUGAGGAGAGGCUGUGGGAUGGGUUAUCCUCUGCUAUCCCUGCAACUCCACUCACAGCCGUCCCAAAAUUAUGCUGUGCUACAGGUUUGGCUUUGGUCCCUCCUCACCGUGAG
ensembl:lncRNA